rnacentral:lncRNA from 1 species
CCUCCCUGCCCUGGGCCGACUCACUCACCAAAACUUUGCAGACGGCGCUGGGGAGAAUUAAUCCCGGAGUCGCCGUCUACGCGGCCCUGGGGGGUUAGGACGCCCGCCCGGGAGAGAGCGUGGACUCGCCGCGCGCGAUGGUCGGAAAGCGGUGCCCCUUCCGCUGCCUGGCCAAGCGGAGCGCUGUAAGUCCCCAGGCCGAGGACUUGCUGGCACAGGGCAGUGGUCCUGGAGGCAGGCAAGAAGCAGGCUGGCUGCCAGACUGCUGGCUCCUGGGGGUGCUUCGAUGGCCCCCAGCCCAGGUGAGGUCAUCCCUCUUCCAAGGAUGCCCUGAGACGUCGGUGGCUCGGCCCCCAGCCCGCACACCCUUGAGUCGGUCCAGGAGCAGGACAAAAAGGACAAGACGUCCUCCCAUCCCGGCGCCCCUACCGAGCACUCUUCCCCGAGUGCCAGACGGCUGGCACAGUUCCGCGGGCUCCUGCUGUCAACAGGAGCAGCGAGACCUCACGGAGAAGCAUAUAGCACGCCAAGCGGCUUGCCCGAGACGCUGCCACUCUGCUUCUGUGCACCCGGCAUCCCCUAGCCCACCCCAGGAGACAAGAAACGCCUUACAGGGGGGAAUCACAGAAAACAACUAGAGCGGGGCAGCACCAGAGACGAACGCACAUCUGGUCUGCAUCCACCUGACAUAAAAUCCUGAGAUCCAAACACAGAUGAGCUCGAGACAGGGCCUUCUAUUUCUACAGCAGUCGCGGUAAUCCACCCUUGAAGAGAUCUAGCUCAGCUGGGCCUGUCUUCUCAGACAGCAGGAAUACUGGCUUGUAGACAUAUCCCUUGGACACCCCAGGUCUCUAAAGUAUACAGACAACUCCGUACACACAGCCCUUUUAACUCUGUGCAGACAACCUUUUUAACUCUGAUGGAUAGAUUAUUUUAAAUAUUAUUACUUCUUUCCAAGCAUUACUAGCAGCUUUUAAAAAAAAUAGAUCACUUAAUUUAUCACCUAAGUCAGUAUCUUCAAAGUUCUGUCUGACUUCCAGGCCUUACUCUGGGCCCUGUCACUUCUAUAAAUACAUGUUAUAAUAAGGUCUCCAUUAAAAAGAGAAUGUGUUUCAAUAACACAUGUUAUUGUAAGAAUCUUUAUUACUGACAAUAGACAUAGGCUGUAUAAGGUGUACUCAAGGAUGUUAGUGGCUCAGUGGUAAAGAAUCUGCCUGCCCAUCCAGGAGACAUGGGUUCGAUCCCUGGGUUGGGAAGAUCCCCUGGAGAAGGA